UCCGGAGUAGCUCAAUGGUGGAGCAGGCGGCUGUUAACCGCAAGGUUGUCGGUUCGAACCCGACCUCCGGAGCCA
rnacentral:tRNA from 4 species